rnacentral:rRNA from 1 species
ACGCUCGACACCUACGGGAGGCAGCAGUGGGGAAUAUUGCACAAUGGGGGAAACCCUGAUGCAGCGACGCCGCGUGAGUGAAGAAGUAUUUCGGUAUGUAAAGCUCUAUCAGCAGGGAAGAAAAUGACGGUACCUGAGUAAGAAGCCCCGGCUAACUACGUGCUAGCAGCCGCGGUAAUCUGAGCGGGCUGGCAAGGC